GAUGAACGCUGGCGGCGUGCCUAAUACAUGCAAGUCGAGCGCACGGACGAGCAGCUUGCCUCUCUGCUGCUAACGGCAGACGGGUGAGUAACACGUGGAUAACCUACCUAUAAGACUGGAAUAACUUCGGGAAACCGGAGCUAACACCGGAUAAUAUUUCGAACUGCCUGGUUCAACAGUGAAAGACGGUCUUGCUGUCACUUAUCGCUCUAUCCGCGCUUCAUGGGCUAGAUGGUGAGGUAACGGCUGACCAAGCCAACGAUGCAUAGCCGACCUGACCGGGUGAUGGGCCACACUGGAACAGAGACCCGGUCCAGACUCCUACGGGAGGCACCAGUAGGGAAUCUUCCGCAAUGAGCGAAGGCUUGCCGAACCAACCCCGCGGGAGGGAUAAGGGUCUACGAUUCGUAAACCUUUGUUAUUAAAGAAAAACAUAUGUGGAAUUAAAAGUGCACAUCUUGACGGUACCUAAUCAGAAAGCCACGGCUAACUACGUG
rnacentral:rRNA from 1 species